rnacentral:rRNA from 1 species
CCUACGGGUGGCAGCAGUGGGGGAUAUUGCACAAUGGGGGGAACCCUGAUGCAGCGACGCCGCGUGGGUGAAGGAGUGCUUCGGCAUGUAAAGCCCUAUCGGCAGGGAAGAAGCAAGACGGUACCUGACUAAGAAGCCCCGGCUAACGACGGGCCAGCAGCCGCGGUAAAACGUAGGGGGCGAGCGUUAUCCGGAUUCACUGGGUGUAAAGGGAGCGUAGACGGCCAUGCAAGCUAGGGGUGAAAGCCCGGGGCCCAACCCCGGGACUGCCCUUGGAACUGCGUGGCUGGAGUGCGGGAGGGGCAGGCGGAAUUCCUGGUGUAGCGGUGAAAUGCGUAGAUAUCAGGAGGAACACCGGCGGCGAAGGCGGCCUGCUGGACCGCGACUGACGUUGAGGCUCGAAAGCGUGGGGAGCAAACAGGAUUAGAUACCCUGGUAGUC